rnacentral:rRNA from 1 species
UACGAAGGGGGCUAGCGUUGCUCGGAUUGACUGGGCGUAAAGGGCGCGUAGGCGGUUCGUACAGUCAGACGUGAAAUUCCUGGGCUCAACCUGGGGGCUGCGUUUGAUACGUGCGGACUUGAGUGCGGAAGAGGGUCGUGGAAUUCCCAGUGUAGAGGUGAAAUUCGCAGAUAUCGGGAGGAACACCAAUGGCGAAGGCAGCUCGCUGGGACGGUACUGACGCUGAGGCGCGAAAGCGUGGGGAGCAAACAGG